CCUCCUUACAAAAAGUUAGGCGCACGCCUAUUUUAGUACUCACAACAAAUUAUUUUGAUUGAAUAAAGCAAUGAGCCUGGGCCUGUAGCUCAGUUGGUUAGAGCGCACCCCUGAUAAGGGUGAGGUCGGAGGUUCAAAUCCUCCCAGGCCCACCAAUUUUGCGCACUGUGGUUGAAAGACUAUUUUGUGGAAAGUUUUUGGACAUCUUCUGGGACUGGACGCUUGCGAUGUAAAGGGCCACGGUAGUGGUUUUUUUAGUUGCACGUAAUAGAGAGGGGCCAUAGCUCAGCUGGGAGAGCGCCUGCCUUGCACGCAGGAGGUCGGGAGUUCGAUCCUCCCUGGCUCCACCAACUCUAUAGAGGUUACGUAACGGAUUUAAGUUACGGGGAUAGCUUUUAUAGAAUUGGUGAGGAAACUCAACAAUUGCUCUUUAAAAAUUUGGAAUCUGUAAACUGUAAUAAAGAAUGAAGCAGUAAUGGAUUGUGUUUAGUUUGAUGAUGAGUCGAGCUGUAUGCAAGAAGUUAUUGGUGAGUUCUCAAGCAAAGCGAAA
rnacentral:misc_RNA from 1 species